rnacentral:ncRNA from 1 species
UCUUAUCAAGAGUGGUGGAGGGAUGUGCCCUAUGAAGCCCGGCAACCGUCAGUGAAUGACAUGGUGCCAAGUCACAUAAAGUUUAAAGUACUUUAAGAGAUGAGA